rnacentral:tRNA from 1 species
AGUAGAAUGACUGAGAUAUAGGUGAAAGAUUGUAAAUCUUUUAAGGGGUGUUAACUCUUCUACUA